AACAUAAUCACCACUCUGAUGUCAUAGGCCAACAUAAUAAAAUAGAAGGCAUUAUUUUCAGAGCAGCACCCAUAUUUCACAUAGUAUCUUUCUAAGAUAAAUUUGCCUUUCCUUUUGGUCUGAUUAUAUGGUUGAUUAGUCACUAAAAAUUUAUCUCCCUUCUCCUGUUUGCACUACUUGAAAUUUCCUAUUUCAAAUAUUCUCAUGCAAGUUGUAAAUUCAUCGUAGCUCCUACAAGUAUAACUUGGCAUUUUACAUUACUUAAUUUCACCCAGAUUCUAUUUCUACAGUUCUCAGGGUGUGGCACUGAGAUUCUUUGUCGCCUUAUUCAAGGAUCUACUUUAAUCAGGUUUCAGUAACACAAUUACAAAUAAGACAAGAUGAAAACUUCUUUAAACUAUGCUGGGCCUAAUUUAUCAUUAUGUUGCUCUAUUUAUGAGUCACUGUAACUCCAUGGAGUUCAACAGAGUUAUGAAUGUUUAAGUUUGAAUUAAAAUAUGAAUCAGACCUUGCAGUGUCCCCUUCCCUAAUUGCAGACCACGUUUAUUUUCUCUAAAAACUAAAUUAUUCAUGAAGUCAGAGAGUGUACGUAUCUUAUUUGAACAAAUUAUAACUAACAUACUGAAAUAAUCAGAAUUUGCAUUUUUUCCAGAAGUAAAUUCUGAGACAGUAUCAUUUUUAGUUUAGAUAUAGGGUGGUUAAACUAGAGGAUAGCUACUGUUAGUAGUCUAGGGUUGGAACAGAGCAAGGAUCCUAUAAAACAAUUUAUAAAUAUAAAGAAGACUUUUAAAGUCUAAAGUGAUUUACUGAAAGCAAGUCAGAAAACUUACGAGGCUAUUCUUCUGGUUUAAGCACAACAUGCAGAGAAAACAGGGUUCCUAAGGAACAUGCUUUGGCAGAGGCCUCUUCCCAUUCCUAUGAUUCUGUGAUUCAUGAAGAGAUGGUUGGGCUCUGCAGGACAGAUCCCUGUGGAUCCCUUCCAAAUCAAGAUAUUCUGAGAUUCUGUGAUCAUGAAAAUUUCCCUCUGCAAUGGUGAUUUUGAGAUGGAUAGGUUGAAUGGAAGUUCAUUGGAAGAAAUGACUGACCUGAGUGCCUAUGAAAGCAAAUGCAAUUUAUCAAUCAAAGUUUAAUGUAAAAAAAUGAGGUGCAAAUAGAGAGAUCUGAAGCUAUACCACAGUGAAGUACAGAAUUUCAUCAAGAUAAUAAUGAUCUUAAGCUAAUGUAAAUGUGAAAUUUGGAAACAGGAUUUUGAAACAGCUCUCAGGAGUUGAUAAUGUCAGGCUAUUCUGACAUUUCUAAGGUGCUUCUAAGGUCCUGAAGCUGUCUGCAGUACUAAGAACUCACCAGGAAGGUCCGUGAUGGAGGUUGGGCAUAGUAGCUCCUCAUAUUGCCAUGAAAAAAAUUGUGAGAAGGCUACCAGCUUAUAUGAAGCAACAAAAUGAGAUAGAGUAGAAUACUUCUGCUGUCUGAUCUCUGUAUACUUUCUUGCUUCCAAUGUACAGGUUAGCUCUCAAGCCAGUGAAAUAUCUUAGUAGUAGCAAUACUUAGAACUGCUGUAAUCAGUCCUCCACUUUUGUUCACAGCCCCAAACCUGACCAGCUGCAGGUGGAAAUCCUAAUACCAGCUAUUGCUCAGGGGUGAAAUUACCUAGAUUUAAGCUUGGAUGUAAUUUUUUUUUAUCAAGGAACCAGAUUUUUAUGUAUGUCAUAUUCUGAAUUAAAAUAUGUUUUGAUAAAGUUAGCAUAAUGUGUUAAAUAUCAGUCUGGGAAGUGACAAAUUGUGGACAAAAAAACCAUACAGCUUGCUUUAAAGGAAAGUAAAAUGCUGUAUAAUCAACUGACAGAGCUUAAUGAUUGUUUUGUUUUCUGUCUGUUGAAAAGCUUCUGUUUACAAAUUUAGGUAAAAAAAGUAAUGCUGUAGUUCUUUCUGGAGUUUUAAACCUUUGUUUUCAUGUACUAUACCUUUUACCAAUCAAUAAACAUACCAGAAUAGCACAAUUUUAAGAAAACCAUCUGUCCACUGUUUAUCUCUGAUCACAUGCUCCAGAAAGGAAAACUGCAGGUAACAAAUUGCAUCAAACCAUCUGGAAUAAGCAUGAUUGAUGUAGACAGUACAAUACCCAGAGUAUUGGUUUAAAACAGAAAGGACUGUGGAAUUUUACACUACAUAAGACAGCUGGGCAUUCUCAAAGAAGCAUGGGAAAGGAUCCAGUGGUCAGAAAUAGUGUGAAAGCCUCUAUUUCUGUUUCCCCAGAGGUAAGUACUUUGAAAGGAACCUGUUAAUAUUUCUGUGAUGUCUAAUCAACAGCUGGACUUCUAACAGUAUAGAUGUACCAUACAGAAAGUUGCACGUGGACUUCAAAACUCACAUUGUUCUAAAUGUCAUGAGAAUUUCACGAGAAAUGAAAAAAAACCAGCAAUGAGCGGAGUCAUUGCAAAGGUAUUUAGACACUGUGCACAAGGCAAGAGGCCAUCUUACUACCUUUAGGAGCAGAGUUUGAAGAUUUGGUUGUGUCUUGGCCAGUGCCAAGAAAAAAAGUGCAAUAAAAGGAUUGUGUUUAAAUCUGCAGAAACUGAGAUCCAGCCCAAAGCAAGACAGCGUGAAAAUAAGGAGCUGUGGAUCAAGCGGCUCACUGAGUGAGCUCGCCUGCCUGUUAGUCUUCACUGAAUGAAAACUGCUCACCUCACUGUGAAAGAUGCAGCAUAAAGGCUUGAUGUAGACUUGGUUCCCUCAGUGUGACCUGUAUUACCUGAGCAGAAGGAUGUCUCAUUUCUGGAUUCUGAUCAGGCUUAGUUCACUGAAUUGAAGAGAGGAAACUUCUGUCUCCAGUGAUAUCACCUCUUGCCUUAUCAAGUUUAUAUUUUCUUCAUAAAUUCUCAGUUCAUCAAGUAAAACAAAAGUCCUCAGGUGAUCCAUGAAUAACAACCAGCCCUCCCGGACUACCCUUCUCUCCAGCAGUCACCCAUGAGAUGUUACCAAGCAGAACUCUGAAGUGUCAAAUAUGAUUUUCCCUGCCUGGAGAGGCAUGUAUUCUGUAGCUACUCCUGACAUACCUGUAAACUGCUCUUCCCUAUGAGGUGUGAAAUGGGAGCAGUAAUUACUUCCUGUGCUGCAAAGGCAUUGAGAAGUUUCAAGGCGUGCAGUUCUGGGUGACGGGAAACAAAACUAAACGAAGUAGAAAUGUGAUCAGAAAAACAAUGAGAGCAGAACUUGAUCUGCUUGCAGGAAAAAGAAAUAGAGGAAUCAGAAUAAUCCCUGAAAUAGAAUCUGCUCAAUGAAGAUUUGAAUUUUAUUGCAUUUCUACAAUUCCUUCUAGCUAGCCAAGGUAAAGCAAAUAUAUCU